UACGGAGGUGGCGAGCGUUGUUCGGAAUUACUGGGCGUAAAGCGUGCGUAGACGGUUAUUUAAGUCGGGUGUGAAAGCCCCGGGCUCAACCUGGGAAUUGCAUUCGAGACUGAAUAGCUAGGGUACGGUAGAGGGAAGCGGAAUUUCCGGUGUAGCGGUGAAAUGCGUAGAUAUCGGAAGGAACAUCAGUGGCGAAAGCGGCUUCCUGGACCAGUACCGACGUUCAGGCACGAAAGCGUGGGGAGCAAACAGG
rnacentral:rRNA from 1 species